rnacentral:rRNA from 1 species
UGGUGGAGUGAUUUGUCUGGUUAAUUCCGUUAACGAACGAGACCGCGACUUACUAAAUAGAUGGCUUAAUUCUCUGAAUUGGGUUCAUCUUCUUAGAAGGACUAUCGGCUGGUGUACCCGAUGGAAGUUCGCGGCAAUAACA